ACGCACGCUGGCGGCGUGCUUAACCCCUGCAAGUCGCACGGUAAGGCUCCAGCUUGCUGGGGUACACGAGUGGCGAACGGGUGAGUAACACGUGGGUGACCUGCCCUGCACUUCGGGAUAAGCCUGGGAAACUGGGUCUAAUACCGGAUAGGACCGCACCGUGAGGGUGUGGUGGAAAGUUUUUUCGGUGUGGGAUGGGCCCGCGGCCUAUCAGCUUGUUGGUGGGGUAAUGGCCUACCAAGGCGGCGACGGGUAGCCGGCCUGAGAGGGUGGACGGCCACAUUGGGACUGAGACACGGCCCAGACUCCUACGGGAGGCAGCAGUGGGGAAUAUUGCACAAUGGGCGGAAGCCUGAUGCAGCGACGCCGCGUGGGGGAUGACGGCCUUCGGGUUGUAAACUCCUUUCACCAUCGACGAAGGGUUUCUGACGGUAGAUGGAGAAGAAGCACCGGCUAACUACGUG
rnacentral:rRNA from 1 species